GGAUGCGAUCAUACCAGCACUAAAGCACAGGAUCCCAUCGAACUCCGAGGUUAAGCGUGCUUGGGCGAGUAGUACUAGGAUGGGUGACCUCUCGAGAGUCCUCGUGUUGCAUCCC